AUAGUUGGUGUAAUCCCUUGUUAGUUGGUUGAGAUUAGGAUGAGUUGGUUAGGAUUGAGCACAUGUACCUCAUUUAACACAUGGCUUACUCUCUCUCUCUCUAUCUCUAUGGAGGCCUAGGUCCCCUUGGAGUGGCCUACAACAACUACUAUUCCCAUUCACCAUUCUUACUCUUCCACAAUUCAUAUUCAUAUUCCAUCAAGUUCUUAUCAGAAAUAUGCUACAGUGAAACUAUCAUAAAAUUCCCCUUGUGUUGUGUCAUCAUUACUUAAGUGUUUUUUUUUUUUGUCCACAUAUUUCUCUUUUAGGGGACACCACUUUGUGACUGAUUCCCCAACAAGUUCUGUCAGACAUUUUCAAGCCAAAUGUGCUUUAUUUAAUGUAAUUUGGACUCGAUUGGCCUAAUAAAUUUGCUUGCCCUGUUGAAUAGCUUAAACAUCUUUGCCAUGGACAUGAUCUAUUAUGUUUUAUCUACCUUUUUGUUGGGGGUGGGGGUUGUUUGCAGUUGUUUCCACUACAUUUAAAAUUAUCUUGUGUUGAUUUGGGAUCUUCAUUUUUUUUUUCCAGAAGAAUUGAGCUUGUGGGUUGUGUUUGUCAUUUUACUAGCCGUUGUUGCUUAUUUUAUGAAGAAUCAAGGAAUCCAGCUAGCGGUUACAGUUUUGAAGAUCUUUAAGAGCUUGUAAGGGUAGAGUUAUCCUAAAGAACUUCAAGAAUCCUACUCUGCUCGAAUCGGACAAUUC